rnacentral:misc_RNA from 1 species
AGCCAAUCAAGGAGGGACACGU